rnacentral:lncRNA from 1 species
AAGGAAGAAAGCAAACAUUUGGGAAGCAUAUUAAGUUAGCUUGUUUGGGUGAGGCUGCACGGCAACAGACUCAGCUUUGCUCCUGAGCUCUCCGAAAAACAGGAUUGUAACAACCACAUACUUGCCAAAUCCUGCACAGAUAACAGCUGUUAGGGACACUCCUUUACUCAAAGUGGAGCCAAGAUCCGAGAUCUGUUGAAAGGAAGGGCUUGCUGGGAACGUCGAAACUUUCCGAACAUGCACGACUUUCUCUUCUCAACGUUCAAGUCCACCCACUCAUCGAGUGGGAGCCUCAUAACACAGGUACAGAGAUGUGAAGCUUUUGAUAGAGAACAUGCACUGCUGGUGGCAAAGUGAUGGACUGGACUGGACUAAGAUCCUGCACUAAGGAUUCCUCCCUGCCAUUCUCAGAAAUAAUUUGAAGUUAUCAGCACAGCCUCUGCUUACCGAGCAACAGGAA